GCCCGGCUGGCACAAUCGGUAGCGCGUGAGACUCUUAAUCUCAAGGUUGCGGGGUACGCUACAAUACUUCCAUCAGCGAAUAUCAACAUACUAACAAGUUCCAGUUCGAAUCCCGCGUUGGGCU